ACUCCUACGGGAGGCAGCAGUGGGAAUAUUGCACAAUGGGGGAAAGCCCAUCGAUGCAGCCAUGCCGCGUGUGUGAAGAAGGCCUUCGGGUUGUAAAGCACUUUCAGUUGUGAGGAAGGUGGUGUCGUUAAUAGCGGCAUCAUUUGACGUUAGCAACAGAAGAAGCACCGGCUAACUCCGUGCCAGCAGCCGCGGUAAUACGGAGGGUGCGAGCGUUAAUCGGAAUUACUGGGCGUAAAGCGCAUGCAGGCGGCCUGUUAAGUCAGAUGUGAAAGCCCGGGCUUAACCUCGGAAUUGCAUUUGAAACUGGCAGGCUAGAGUCUUGUAGAGGGGGUG
rnacentral:rRNA from 1 species